CCAGACGGCCGGAUGGCCGCGCCUUGCCGAUGGGGAAACCCGGCGGGGUGAGGAAAGUCCGGGCUCCACGGAAACACGGUGCCGGGUAACACCCGGCGGGGGCGACCCCCGAGAUAGCGCCACAGAAAGCAAACCGCCCGCACCUUGUCGGAGUUCACUCUGGAGACCGCGGGCAAGGGUGAAAGGGUGCGGUAAGAGCGCACCGCGCGCUUGGCAACAGACGCGGCAUGGCAAGCCUCUCCGGGAGCAAGACCGAGUAGGGACGGCACGAAUGGCCUCCAGGCCAUUCAGGCGGGUUUCCGCGCCGCUGUCCGGGUAGGUUGCGUGAGGUGGCUGGCGACAGUCACCCCAGAUGAAUGGCCAUCCUCCGGCCAGCUGCUUUGCAGCAGGCCAGGGACAGAACCCGGCUUACAGGCCGUCUGGCAGC
rnacentral:RNase_P_RNA from 1 species